rnacentral:rRNA from 1 species
UGAUUAGGUGUGGGAAGGUAGACUAACAAGUAUUUUCUGAGUAAUGGCGAAUGGACAGAGUUAUGCUCAAUGUGCGAAUUGGGGCACAUGGCUUUGAAUUGUGGCAAUGUGUGGUGUAGCCGGUGGAGGUGUAACUGUGGGCUCCUGGAAAUCUGCAAUGGCAAGGGUGAAGCUCCUGUCUUUCAGUUGGAAGUCUCCAUGACUGGCACACUUUCGCAGAGUUAUAUCUCUUAGCAUUGGUGUAUGAAGGUGGUGAUGCAUUAAAUCAAAGGCUAAAUAGCUGCCUCAGACUGAUAGCAGACAAGUACCAUGUGGGAAAUGUGAGACAUAGCUUUGAAAAGGGAGAUGAUGCUGUUUGAACUUGCUGAAUUGAGGAACGGAGGGACACUGGCUGAACUCAGCAGAAAUGUAGAGCGCAUCCUGUCUUGCACUUUAUCAUCUAAGCACCAAAAGCUGCAUCCUAGAAGAUUGGCGCUUGGUUUCACUUGCCAUGAAAUCCACAGAGAGUUGAAAGCCUAAAAGCAAUAAUGGGCUUGCUGUCAACUACUAAUUGUUCAUGGUGCCUGCUUGCAUUUGAUAAACUACUGCUGUGAAGCUGCCUCAAGCCGCUCAUCCCGUCUUGAAACACGGACCAAGGAGUUGAACAUGUAUUCAGGUUGAGAUGUUGGACAGCAUGGCAGCAUAGUGAAGAUGACGAUUGGGGAACUUGCACAAGGUACCUUCUUCAAACGUUGAGGGCUUGAGGUGGAGGAUGCGUGUUAGGACCCGAAAGGUGGUGAACUAUGUCUUUGAAGGGCAAAGUCAGAGGAAACCCUGAUGGCGGUUUACAGUGGUACUGACGUGCAAAUUGUUCACAGUAUAUAGACAUAGGGGUGAAAGACUCAUCGAAUCAUCUAGUAGCUGGUUCCCUCUGAAAUAUCCCUCAGGAUAGCUGGAUUCCCACAACUUCGCCAGGUAAAGCAAAUGAUUAGAGGAGUCAGACAUUCUCCAAUGUUGACCUAUUCUCAAACUCUAAACAGUUGAGGCCAUGUCUUUACAUGUGAGAAUUUCAUGGGUAUGUGAUUUGUCCAAGUGGGCCAUUCUUGGUAAGCAGAAACGGUGAUGAGGGAUGAACUUAAUGUUUUACAAUUUUGCCUCAUUAUCCACAUAUCAGAAACCAUGAAGGGUGUUGGUUCAUUUGAACAGCUGGACAAUGGUCAUGGAAGUUGAAAUCUGCUAAGGAGCGUGUAAUAACUCACCUGCCGAAUGGAUUAGUCCCAAAAAUGGAUAGCACUGCAGUGGGUGGAAGUUUUAGAACUAAUGUUGCAAAUAACCAGUGGUGAUGAAUAGGGGGGCAUAGAUGCGUUUGCAGAAGCUUGGGGUGAAAGCCUGAGCAAAGGGACUUCAAUUGCAGAUCUUGGUGAGACCUGGUCUGCAGG